rnacentral:rRNA from 1 species
UACGUAGGGGGCGAGCGUUGUCCGGAAUCAUUGGGCGUAAAGCGCGUGUAGGCGGCCCGGUAAGUCCGCUGUGAAAGUCCAGGGCUCAACCCUGGGAUGCCGGUGGAUACUGUCGGGCUCGAGUCCGGAAGAGGCGAGUGGAAUUCCUGGUGUAGCGGUGAAAUGCGCAGAUAUCAGGAGGAACACCAAUGGCGAAGGCAGCUCGCUGGGACGGUACUGACGCUGAGGCGCGAAAGCGUGGGGAGCAAACAGG